rnacentral:tmRNA from 1 species
UUCCUUUAAAUACUGUACCUCCGGUCGUAUAUUGUGUUUGCCGGUUCGCCGGCUAUGGCGAUAAACGUGCUGUGAAAUAAGCAGAGCGGACCCGGGGGCGGUACCCGGCGCCUCCACCAUUUUAGCUGUAGGCUUACCCGAAAUUGACAGACGGAUAUCUCCGAUCUGUUGGACAGCUGAAAGACUGGGGGCGAAACAGGAUCGACGCAUGUGGUAAAGGCAGUAUUUUCGCUCGGUAUGGUACCCGCCGUUAUCGGGCCAUGUAGUAGUUG